UGUCCUCCUCCUGCCGCUCCAGGCGCGAAGCCACGGCCUCCGCCGCCAGGGUCUCCGCCGCCAUGGCGCCCACCUCCCACAGAUGGAGAAAGUGAAGCACAGAGAGGCUAAGUGACUUGACCAAGACCACGCCAGAGCCACAUGACAUAGCUGAGACUCACACUCAGUUUCCAUGAAACCUAUUUUUACAUCUUGCAAGAAAUGUGACGAUUUACUCCAAAGCCCUGUAACCAGAAAAAUACCUGUGCUUUCGAAAAACGGCCCCUCCCUUCCCAGCCCCAGCAAGCAAUUAUUCAUUUUGAAGGACAUGUAAUGAUUCACUUUUCAAUGAACUGACAGGUGCUGGUUUAGAAAAAUGUGCACUGAAUCACGUUUUCCCUUUUAUACACAACUGGAAUUGCCAAGUCUCCAGCAACAUCCAACUUUAGAGAAGGAAGGAAAGGCAGUGGAAGAAGUGGGUGAGCAUCUUGGCAGGACCAUGACGCCUGCUUAUGUCACGAUGCAGAACAGACCCACCGGAUCUUGCAGGAUGCACCUGCUGCGGCAGAAGAAGCAAGGGCCGGAACUUAGCCCGAUCCUGACAGUGUCCUUGAGACUGAUGAUCAAGAACAAAGCAGCUCUCAUUCCGCCCCGACCCCUGGCCAGUCCCAAAUCAAUGUGCAGAUGCCCAUCUUUUUGAGGGUGUGCCCAGGCCACUGUGUCACUUUCUUGGGUUAUUCCCCAGUCUAGAAAGAAUGGUUUUUGGAGGGCACAUUGUAUCAUAGACAGUUGAUGUUGGAGAAGCGGGCUCCUGACUGUCGUGGACUUUUGUUCUUUGUCGGAGCUGCAAACUUUCGGAGUAUCCCUGAUACCUCUGCAUUUCAGUGGUAAAAUUCUAAAAUCGGAAUGGAGGUUAAGAAUUGUGCAGCAAUCCCCUAAAAUGUGUUCUAAUGCCCACCCCAAAAAAACCCUGAAUAUUCAACUUCUUUUUUUUUUUUUAAUGGAACUUCUUAAGGGACAUUCUGCAGGUGUUCAAACAUGAGUGGCCUUCACCUGCUUUUUUGGCUCACAGGGAUGUGUUCUGGGCUAGAGUGAAACUUGAACUCUGGGAAGCCUUCAUGGCCGUGUCUUGCAGGCACAGACCUUGAUGGGAAGGAUUUGA